rnacentral:lncRNA from 1 species
GGGAACCACCACCACCUCCCAUAGCAACAACAGAACAUAAACAGGAGGAGGGAGGUGGGGGGAAGGGUAAGAACACGACAUCCUCAUCCGCAUCUGUCACCAUGGGGAGUCCGUCCGUCAUGUCCGUGGAUCAGCAACCCAUGACUCCAAGCAAUCACUCUGCACGGCCCCACUGUAAGGAUGUCAACCUUCAGCGACAGCUGACCCCUCUCAGACCUCCAAGGGGCCACCAUCCCAGCUGCCCUCAUCAGCUGCUCCAAGUGGAACUCUGACUGAUGGAGUUGGCAGCGUCCACGCCCCGCCUCAUUAAGACCUGGUCCGCGGGCAGCCGGCUCCAGGUCCCUGCCCCCGUGUCACAUUACAGGAUAAUUACGCUCAGAUUAGUUUCUCACACCCUCUGGACAGAGACAUGCUAAUGUGGAUUCUUAGACAUUAAAAUCUUAUAAAGUUCUCUAGUGAUUUUCAGUCCAAUUUCUUAAUUUGGGUGCCCUAAUGGAGAGGAAAAGAUGUGGCUCUCGGCUUCCUACAAAGAGGCGAUUCCUCAAAUGACUUUCAUCAGAAGCUCCUCAGGGGCGGGAUGUCGCAUCUCACACCAGAUUCAGCACCUUAUUUUAAAAUGUCCGUAACCUAAUUACUGACCUUCUUACCACCAGCUCAACAGUCUUCACCUUCACAGCCCCAAACACUCGCGACCCUGGCGGCAACAAGAACCGGAGAUGGAUCAGUCUACCUGGGUCAAUCAUUUAUUCUUUCAUCCUCGCCACCAUCAGAAACAUAAGAGAACUGUCCAAAGGAGUCUUGAAUAACUCACAGGCGUUGUGACACAUCAGGCAUCUCUCUUUGUCCAGAGCCUGUUAACAGCUCAGGCUCCGGGGCUGCAGCGCGAUCUCCAUCAGGAGGCGCUCAACCUCUGUGGACUCCACUUCCUCAUCUGGAAGAUGGGGCUGCGUGGGACUGAAAGGAAAGUGCCCGAGGCACACAGCACCGCGCCUGCCCCAGAGCCUUCCAGCAACGCUAGUUAUUGUCAAUGAAGACAGAAAAAGGAAAGGAGAAAGUACAUAGAUUGAAUCAUUCUAAAGCAGUAAAAUGUAUAUUAUAUAAUAAUAGC